AUGAAGGCCGCGCCGCUGCCUCGCACGAGAGCGGCAGCUUCUCCGAGGCGACGCGUCUGGAUACUCGCCGUCGCGGCCCUCGUCUCCAUCGUGGUGGUCUGGGCCUACCACUACCCGCCCCAGCAUUACGCCUCUCCCGUCAGCAACUGGCUCCCAGUGGAGCCCGACAGGGAGCUGACCGACGACGAGAGGGCCUCGCGCGUUGUCUUCGGCCACAUGCUCUCCACGCUGCCCGUUCGGUCCAGGGGGUCCAAGAUUGCCUUCAUGUUCCUCACUCCGGGCAACUUGCCGUUUGAAAAACUAUGGGAGAAAUUCUUCGAGGGUCAUGAGGGAAGAUAUACCAUAUAUGUUCACGCCUCGAGGGAGAAGCCAGAACAUGUCAGUCGCUUAUUUAUUGGUCGAGAUAUACACAGUGACAAGGUACAGUGGGGUCAGAUUUCUAUGGUUGAUGCUGAGAGGAGGUUGUUGGCGAAUGCUCUGCAAGACAUUGACAACCAGCAUUUUGUGUUGCUUUCUGACAGCUGCGUACCUUUGCACAAUUUUGACUACGUGUAUGACUACCUGAUGGGAACAAAUCUCAGUUUUAUUGACUCCUUCUAUGAUCCUGGACCGCACGGAAAUUUUAGAUAUUCGCAAAAUAUGUUACCUGAGGUUAGAGAGUCCGACUUCAGGAAGGGUUCACAGUGGUUCUCAGUCAAGCGGCAACAUGCAUUGAUGACAAUCGCGGACAGUCUUUACUAUACAAAGUUCAAGCUUUAUUGUAAGCCAGGAAUGGAAGGUGGACGCAAUUGCUAUGCAGAUGAGCAUUAUAUGCCAACACUAUUCAAUAUGAUGGAUCCAAAUGGAAUAGCGAAUUGGUCCGUAACUCAUGUUGAUUGGUCAGAAGGAAAGUGGCAUCCAAAAGCUUAUCGGGCACAAGAUGUCACUUAUGGGCUCCUGAAGAAUAUAACUUCAAUUGACAUGAGCCACCAUGUUACAAGCGAUAUCAAGAAAGUGGUUACACAGAACCCUUGCUUAUGGAAUGGAGUGAAGAAACCAUGCUACCUGUUCGCAAGGAAGUUCUACCCUGAGUCCAUGAACAAUCUCAUAAACAUGUGUACAUUUGGAAGGACAUUAGAUCUAUUGACAAAUUGGUGGAUAUAG
rnacentral:rRNA from 1 species